rnacentral:lncRNA from 1 species
GAUCCGGCCCCUCUUCACACAGUCCGGUUAAUCGCAGGAUGUGCCUCCAACUGGCCAGGGUCCGAGCGCUCCCCACCUGGUCUGACAAAGUGCCAAGCAAGCCAAUCCAAGUUGCACCUUGCCUUCCAAGAAUAAUCCUUGCCUUCCAAGUUCCCACUUGCCUUCCAAGAAUAAAUCCUUGCCUUCCAAAUGUUCCCUUGCCUUCCAAGAAUAAAUUCUUGCCUUCCAAGAGCCCCAUGUUUCGAACUCACGACCUCUGCUCUGCCAGGUUUGACAGCGUCCGUCCUUUGCCAGUGAAGAAGUGCCCUGGGGGGCUAAACUGUGUAGGGUAAACUUUUUAAAGUGACUGGCCCCACCGCACUGCGGCCCCAUACUCCAGAAACCCCACCUCCGGCCUGGCCCUACGGGUUAGUAUACACCGCUUGGCCCUACACGUAUGGAGGGAUUUUUUGGAGAGGC